rnacentral:rRNA from 1 species
AACGUAGGAUGCAAGCGUUAUCCGGAUUUACUGGGCGUAAAGCGCGUGUAGGCGGUUUGGUAAGUUGGAUGUGAAAGCUCCUGGCUUAACUGGGAGAGGUCAUUCAAUACUGUCAAACUUGAGAGUGGUAGAGGGAGGUGGAAUUCCAAGUGUAGUGGUGAAAUGCGUAGAUAUUUGGAGGAACACCAGUGGCGAAAGCGGCCUCCUGGACCAUUUCUGACGCUCAGACGCGAAAGCUAGGGUAGCAAACGGG